UUAAACGUCCAUACCACGUUGAAUUCACCGGUUCUCGUUCGAUCACCGAAGUUAAGCGACAGUUGCGGUCAGUACUUAGAUCGGUGACCGCCUGGGAACACUGCGUGACGUUGGCU
rnacentral:rRNA from 1 species